rnacentral:lncRNA from 13 species
AGGUGAUUAUUAGCAUAUUUUAGCAAUAAAGUAUUUUAAAUCAUGAUAUUACAUUGUUUUUUAACAUAAUAUGAUUGGACACGUAGUAGACUAUAUUAUAGUGUAAACAGGACUUUUAUUGCACUAGGAAAUCAAAAUAUUUGUGUGACUCACUUUAUUGUGAUAUUUGUUUUAUUGCAGUGGUCUGGAACAAACCCCACAAUCCGUGUUUAUAUAUAUAUAUUUUUGUGUGUGUACACACAGUUGACCCUUGAGUGACACUGGUUUGAGCUAUGUGGUUUCACUUAUACACAGAUUUACUUCUGGCUCUACCACUCCUGAGACAGAAAGAUAACACCUCCUCCUCUUCCUCAGCCUAUUCAAUGUGAAGAGGAUGAGGAUAAAGACCUUUAUUUUGAUCCACUUCCACUUAAUUAAUAGUAAAUGUAUUUUCUCUUGCUUCUUUUUUUCUUUUUUUGAGAUGGAGUCUCCCUCUGUCUCCAGGCUGGAGUGCAGUGCAUGAUCUCGGCUCAUUGCAACCUCUGCCUCCCAGGUUCGAGUAAUUCCUGCCUCAGCCUUCCAAGUAGCUGGGAUUAUAGGUGGCUAAUUUUUGUAUUUUUAGUAGAGACGGGGUUUCACCUAUCUUGGUCAGGCUGGUCUUGUGCUCCUGACCUUGUGAUCCAGCCGCAUCAGCCUCCCAAAGUGCUGGGAUUACAGGGCGCAGACAAAAUGUGCCAUGAGUGAUGGCCUUGGGUGAUCUACAGACAUCCCUGGCUCUAGCAGUCAUUUGUGUGGGGAGGUAAGAAGGCAAGUCAUUGCCAGGAGACUUGGAUUCUUGUCCCUUUGGCAAACUAGCUGUGUGACACUGAGAAAGUCUCUUAAGCUCACAAUAACUGGAUUUCCUGUUCUAUAAAUAAAGAGGCUGGCAUCUCAGCUUCCUUCCA